rnacentral:rRNA from 1 species
UACGAAGGGGGCUAGCGUUGUUCGGAAUUACUGGGCGUAAAGCGCGCGCAGGCGGUCUUCCAAGUCAGUGGUGAAAGCCCGGAGCUCAACUCCGGAACUGCCAUUGAAACUGUUAGACUUGAGGACGAGAGAGGUGAGUGGAAUUCCCAGUGUAGAGGUGAAAUUCGUAGAUAUUGGGAAGAACACCGGUGGCGAAGGACGGCUCACUGGCUCGUAUCUGACGCUCAGGCGCGACAGCGUGGGGAUCAAACAGG